UUAAUUCUGAGAUAUUCGUUAAGCUCUUAUUUUGAACCUACAAAUUAAAUUCGGGAGUUUAAUAUUUAGAUGAUGAAAUGUACUUUUGAGUGAAUCCUUUUACGGUUUUAAAAGCGAUUGAGGCAUCUGUGAAAACACCCACCUAUCGAGAGAUAGGCGUCAAAAUUAGAGUACCGAUAUUUUGGAUCUUAU
rfam:Clostridium beijerinckii NCIMB 8052, complete genome.